UGACAAUGUGUCACGUUCGGUGGCGAAC
rnacentral:piRNA from 1 species